GCUUUUGUUCCAGCCAUCUGUUUGUAUGUGAAUGGAGCAGACAUGGGUAUAUCACGAGGAUGACUGACAGAUGGAAUUAUCUUUGAAAGGAUAUCAAGCUGGACUUCUUCGACUGGAUAUUUAACAGCAAACUUUCAGAUUCAGUCUUUAGUGUAUUUAUUAAGACGUGCGGAUUCUUUCCAUUACAAAAGGAUAUUGUCAGGAGGCUGAAUGAAGUGCAGAUCCACUAACCUUUGGGAAACCCAUCCGUCUCACGGUCAAUCCAAGUAAGUAAAUCCACUUUCAUUGUUCUCAUACUGCAGUUUUCCAAACCGUACACCUGAAUUUGUGAAAACAUCAACUUUGGUCAGUUAGUUGUAGUCAGCAGGGCUCAGUUAGGUCAGUCUGUCAGUCCCAUUACUGAUCUAGGUUCGGGAGUGUUUUUGUAAGGGUUAGGGUAGCGGUGCAUUUUCAGCUACUGACACCCUAACAUUCGGAAAACCGAUAACCCUCACGGUCACACUAAAAGAUGUACCGAAAACUCCUCCGUUUCUGUCCAUCUUGUCCCCUAUCAAGGACGAUGAACCGGAUAUUUGUCUGGCUGGCGGGUUCUUUCCUCAAGAAAAUAAAAUGACUUUGACUUUGGAAGAUAACAAUGAAGUGGAUCUUCAAACCAGCAAUGCGCCUUUAUCCAGCUCGACCAGAAGAUAUUAUUAUGCUGGAUUCAGUGGUAAAUCAAAAAUCCAAACAUGCAAAAUGGAUGGAGAAAACACAGACAAAACUGACAAAACUGACCCUACUGAAUCAACAGUAGAUCAACCCAAUCCAACGACUCCAAACCCUUGUGAAACAACUCAAACUAAAACUUCUGCCUCAGAGUUCAUAGACACUGGUGUUCCAAAAAUGAACUUCAUGAAUCUUCUUGUGACAGGUCUGAGAAUUCUGCUCGCUAAAUGUGUUGCAGUUAAUGUAAUGAUGACUGUAAAGGCCUUCGUAUUUUAAAAGUUCAAUUCAGCAAAAUCAUCUGAAUAAUCUCACAAACUAACAAAUGCGGUUAUACAGUCAGCCACAGGGUCAAUAUUAAUCUAUAUUCUAUCUAAUAAUAAUAAUGAAAUUAAAAAUACAAAUUGUUCGUAAUGCCUUUCAAAUAUACAGAAAUAUUGCAAACCUUUUUGACAUUUAGAAACAUUUCUGAAUUCAGUGGUAUAAUGUGUUUAUUGCUUUGCAUUGGUGUGUGUAUUUUCGGCUUUAGUUUGCGAAGUUUUUUGUAACAUUUUUAUACUUUUACAUUUUUUACUUUUUUACUUUUUUUAUUAUUAUUUUUUUUUUACAUAACAGUAUAUAAUUGUUUAAGACUUUUGCAUGUCUAAUUGUGUAACGGAUAACUAUUUCACUUAACUAUUGAGGCUCUUAUCUUUGCAUGUAAUAUGAUUUUUCAAAAAUAUAUUAAAUAAUAAAAUGUCUUGAUAAAAGAGAAGUUUCAUGUGAGUAUGUCUAAACCACAGUUUCAACAGCACAUUGGCACUGGAGACACAUUCUAACCACAGUUUCAGAUAAAGAUCUGCUGCUCGCUUUGGGUUCCAAGAAUUAGUAUGUUUGUUGCUUAAUUUUUUCCACUCUAUUACAGAAAGAGAAAAACAGCUGCAAAGUUUCACAGCUACAGGUUUUUGAGUUUGAGUUUUUUUUUUUAUUACUUAAAGUGUUUAAUUACUUAACUUUUACAUAAAAUGAUUUAAAAAUAAAUAUUUCUCAAAACAGUUUUCCUCAGUUUUGAUGAUUAGCCUGCAUUUGAGAAAAGUUACGUUACUAAUUCUGUUAAGAGCACUUUUUUGUUUUCCUUAUAAAUCACUUAAUUUGAUUAUUUAUGAACUAUUUAUUAAUGAAUAUUAAGUGAUAUUAAGCUCAACUUUCUUUCAUGAAAACGUUGAGCUGAGCUCGCUACUCAUCUAAGACCAUGAAAUAAAGUCUACUGCCCUCCUGUGGCUGGUAGUGGGAUUUUGUCGUUGGUUUUGAAUGGAGGACUUGAGUGCCCUCUAGUGGCCGACUGAGCAUUUACAUCCAACGUGAUUCUGCGUGUUCCACACGUCUUUUGUUUAUGUAAACAUACAAGACUCUCGAAAGCUUUUGGCUCAAGGGAAACAUGAUUCUACACUGGCCUGGUCCGUUUUCAGAAGACACUUUUUAUAUCACAGAAUAAAAAAAAAUAUCUUAAAAAUAUAUAGCUCUCUACAAAUAGCACAUGGUGGCACGGGUAACUAGCCUAAACGUUUGUGUCUGCCUGAUACUCCAUCAAAUAUAAAGCUCGACUCGAUAUUAAGUGUUUUUUUUUUUCCAAGCAAAAACAUUAAUUUAGAACGAAAACGCCUUAAAAUAAGACUUAGCUUCGUUGACAAUAAAUACAUUUAGUUUUACUAAACGUUUACGAAACAAUACCGAGUAAAACAAAUGUAAAUCUUAGCCUAGUAUUAUUAAGAAAUAAGUUUAGGCCUUGGCCAUGUGUGUAACGUUAAAACUAGGCCAGUAGAACACCGAUGUCUAUAUGAAGAGGUGAGUUAACAUAUUUCUCAUUUGAAAGAUUGUCUUCAGCUAACUAAAAUGUUCUGCGGUGCAAGUGGCAUUUUAAAUUUUCUGGUUUGAAUUCAUUUUUAGCAAAGAUUGAGGUGUUUGACACUUUUUAUACACAUACUGUUUCUUACAGAGGAAGUACAAAUUAUUCUGGGAUCUGAUAUAGUAGGGAGACACUAAGGUAAGGAUUUCUUUCAGAAUUGAUUUGUUUCAACACAAUAACACAUUUAAAUGUAUUAGAGAGGUUUUUGCAUCAAGAUAAUUGAUGCAUGAUAUUAUUAAUAUCAUCACUGAAUUUUUUGGUAUGCAUUUGGUAAUUCUCAAAUUUAGGGGGAAAUUAGAUAAAAUAUAGAAGUGUUUUGAUCAUUUUAAGCUUUUAUCAUUGAUAUUGAAUGCUUGCUAAAUUAUGAUUUGAAGAUAUACCAUUUAAAAUUAUCUUCUUUA
rnacentral:lncRNA from 1 species